UACGUAGGGGGCUAGCGUUGUCCGGAUUUAUUGGGCGUAAAGAGCGUGUAGGCGGCCAGGUAGGUCUGCUGUGAAAACUCGAGGCUCAACCUCGAGACGUCGGCGGAAACCAUCUGGCUAGAGUCCGGAAGAGGAGAGUGGAAUUCCUGGUGUAGCGGUGAAAUGCGCAGAUAUCAGGAAGAACACCCGUGGCGAAGGCGGCUUGCUGGGCGUGAUCUGACGCUGAGGCGCGAAAGCGUGGGGAGCGAACAGG
rnacentral:rRNA from 1 species